rnacentral:rRNA from 1 species
ACCUCCGGACUGGGGUUCGCAAGCUUCACGGCGAACGUACCUCGGGAAGUUGGUUAAACCUCACUAUUUAGAGGAAGGUGAAGUCGUAACAAGGCCUCCGUAGGUGAACCUGCAGAAGGAUC